rnacentral:lncRNA from 10 species
GGGGCAUGGGGCAGUGGACUCUGUGGAUGCUGGAAGGCUUCUCAGAGGAGGCAAUGCCAUAAUUGAGCUCUGAAGGAAGAACAUGAUUUUUCAGUUGGUGGAAGCCAUUGCUCCAGACAGAAGAACCCACAUAAGCAAAAGUCCAGAAGCCACAGGGGCAUGGUGUUGAAAAACAGUCAUAGAGUUCAGCAUGCAGUAAGCACCUGGUUCUCCAGGUGGCAAAAGAUGAAAAUUUAAAAGUUAUAAAAUUGAGCAUUUUACCCGUUUUUAUUUCCUCUCUUUUUUUUCGUCUUUGAUCAUCAGGCUGCUGAGUUUCCACAGGCACAGGACUGCCCAGUAUCCCUGGCAACUCCAUGGGGUCUUCUUCCUAAAUUGUGGCCAAUGGAAGGUGAGAGCAGUGAUGUCUGCAACUUGUAGGUGUUUCUCUUAAGGGGAAGAUUCCUGUGUUUUGUGUCCUCUUCUGUUCUUUGGGCUGGGAUGUAUGGGUAAGCGCCAGCUUCCACGUGGAAAACAACAACUCCCUCUGAGUGGCAACCCCUGGUCGACCUUCGGGAGCAAAACCACCUGCCACUGAAACUGCCUAGCAACGUUGGUGUGAAUGUCUCAGUUCAGCAAUCUCCUAUAUCAUUGAUUGAAUAUAUCGGUAAUUGGGAGCUCUUUGUUAUGGCAGCUUGGCAUCGGUGACCUAAGUAACUCAAGGCCCACCCCUAGGUUCCAUCUCCACCCUUGGCUCUAAGUCUCUUCCUCCUUCUGAAUUCUGCCUUUGUGACCAUCUCCUUUGGGCUGACCACAGCUUGGAGGUGGCUUUGAUGUUGACUUCUCCUAGGACCUUGUCAUCCCCUCUAAGGGAGCGCAUGGAUAAGUGACCAC